rnacentral:rRNA from 1 species
UACGUAGGGUGCAAGCGUUGCCCGGAUUUAUUGGGCGUAAAGGGCGCGUAGGCGGCUCUGCACGUCCGUUGUGAAAUCGCCCGGCUCAACUGGGCGGGGUCAGCGGAUACGGCAGAGCUUGAGCAAGCUAGGGGGCAAUGGAAUUCCCGGUGUAGUGGUGGAAUGCGUAGAUAUCAGGAGGAACACCUGUGGCGAAAGCGGCUCACUGGACCAUAACUGACGCUGAUGCACGAAAGCUAGGGGAGCAAACAGG